UCUCUUGACCACUUAUGGUGUGGUACUUGACCGGCUGCUGCGCUGGCCCGACAUCAGGUCCAGACCACAGUAACAAGGGUGGUCCUCUACGUUUAAGCUCACUCGGUAUUUUCACGGUCCAACACAGGUUGAGCCGCUGGAGUCGUGCUUUCAUCCCAUCCGCCAUAAACUGUACAAAAACAAGAUCUGAGGGGUUACUUCUCCGAAACUCGUUCCUGACAGUGUGGGACACUUCUGAAUCAUUUCAUUGGAAAGUUGAUUUUGCAGCUCCCAGAAGCCGAGGAUCCUCGGGAAAAUCUACACACUUCCGUCUUUACUCCGGCUAACUCCGGUUACCUUGACGCAGCUGAACCCGCCAAUACGCCGAGCGACUGGGGUGGACACAGUUCCUGUCCCGGGGCAGUCAAACUUCAGGCGGCAGAGCGGAGCCAAUCGAGCAGGACUGAAUGCCUUAGGGAAGCAGCGGGAGGAUUCAGGGCCCCAGAGGUUCCCAGGCGUUUGGCCCUCAUUUGAUAACAGUUUGGUCUCAAGCUCCACAGCCUUAGUGCAGAACCGAUGACACUUUAUACUGCAGAUGACCUGGGCAGGGUAACAUCCAGCAACUGCCAUUACAUUUACGUGUCUUCAAAUAAAAUAAUAGGAAAACUACUGUAGGGCAUGUACAAUCAGCAUUUUAACCAACCUUUAAUACGCACUAACAGUUGCUGUUAAAGCGUGAUUUAAUUCAGUGGUUUCUAUAAUGCUUAGUCAAACCCACAUGUUCAUCAUAUAGUUAUAGGAUUCAAUGAAAAGCCGUUAUGAAAAACAAAAUAUUUAAUAGUAGAAACAAUUACAUACAAUAAUUAACGGAGUAUUGUAUAGUCUUUGCUAAAUAUUUACCAAUAUCCAUUGAAGAUGAAGCAGUGGGU